CCCGCUGGCGCGGCGGGCUGAAGUGCGAGUUGCGCCGCUCUCGCUGUGGCCGUGGCCGACAAGGGAGGGAGGAAACAUUGUGUGCCUCGGACAUUGGUCUCGCAUCGCGGCCCACGGGGGCAAGUUGCGCUCUCGAGAUCUCGAAUCCCUGCGCCGCACUACCGCGGCGACUAGGAAAGCACAAAGGCAGGUCGGCCGGGUCUUUCGCUUUUAGUUAGAAAUGCCGCAAGCAAAGAUCAUAUAGCCACCCCGGGAAACAGCGCACGCCGACUCGGCGUGCCCCCUCGAGGCUCCAGCGUGCUCGUUGCAACGGCCCGUAGGCUCCGUUCAACCCGUCUUGAAAUACGGACCAAGGAGCCUGACAUGCUUGCGAACUGACGGGUGUCAAAGCCCGGUGGGCCCAAAGAAGCUGAUGUACAGGAUCUUCUAGGCAGGUGCACCGCUGACCAACCUUCAUCUUUGUGUGAAGGGUUCGAGUGAGAGCAAGCGUGUUGGGACCUGAAAGAUGGCAAACUAAGCCUGAAUGGGGCGAAGCCAGAGGAAACUAUGGUGGAGGCCCGCAGCGAUACUAACGUGCAAAUCGUUCAUCUGACUCGGGUAUAAGGGCGAAAGACUAAUCGAACAAUCUAGUAUCUGGUUCCCUCCGAAGUUUCCCUCAGGAUAGCUGGAGCCCGGACAGAGUUCUAUCGGGUAAAGCUAAUGAUUAGAGGCAUCGAGGGCACAACGCACUCCACCCAUUCUCGGCCCGACUGCUUCGUAGAGCCGGGCCAUGAAAUCGAGGGCUCCAAGUGGGCCAUUUUUGGUAAGCAAAACUGGUGAUGCAGGAUGAACCAGAAGUCGGGUUACGAUGCCCAACUAUGCGCUAACCUAGAACCUACAAAGGGUGUUGGCCGAUUAAGAGAGCAGGACGGUGGCCAUGAAACUUGAAAUCCGCUAAGGAGUGUGUAAGAACUCAUCUGACGAAUCAACUAGCCAUGAAAAUAAAUGGCGCUAAAGCGCGUAACCCACACCCGGCCAUCGGGGCAAUGGCCAGACCCGGAUGAGUAGUAGGGCGCGGUGGCCACCGCAAAAAUCAGGGCACGAGACUGUGCGGAGUGGCUGUCGGUGUGGAUCUUGGUGGUAGUAGCAAAUAUUCAAAUGAGAGCUUUGAAGGCCGAAGGGGGGAAAGGUUCCAUGUGAACGGCACUUGCGCAUGGGUUAGCCGAUCCUAAGAGACGAGGGAGGCAUAUAAGAUAGCGCCGCUUUGCGAGAGCUUCGAAAGGGAGUCGGGUUAAAAUUCCUGAGCCGGAAUGUGGCGGCUGACGGCAAUGUUAGGUAGUCCAUAGACGCCGGUGGGGGCCUUGGAAAGAGUUAUCUUUUCUACUUAACAGCCUGCCUGCCCUGGAAGCGGCUCAGCCGGAGGUAGGGCCCAGUGGCUGAAAGAGCGCCGCUCGUUGAGCAGCAUCCGGUGCGCCCCCGACGGCCAUUGAAAAUCCGGAGGGUCGAGUGUCGUCCACGCCCGGUUGUACUCAUAACCGCAUCACGUCUCCAAGGUGAACAGCCUCUGGUUGAUGGAGCAAUGUAGACAAGGGAAGUUGAUAAAAGAGAUCCGUAACUUUGGGAAAAUGAUUGGCUCUGAGGGUUGGGCUCGAGGGUCCCAGCCCCAAAUCCAACAGAUGUCAGCAGACUGCUUGAGCUGCUUCCGCGAUGAGAGCGGGUCAUCGCGUGCUGGCCGAUGGAUGGAUUGGGAACAGCCCCACGGGGCCUUCCCCGGGCGUCGAAUAACCAACUCAGAACUGGUACGGUCAAGGGGAAUCCGACUGUUUAAUUAAAACAAAGCAUUGCGAUGGUCCCAGCGAAUGCUCACGCAAUGUGAUUUCUGUCCAGUGCUCUGAAUAUCAAAAUGAAGAAAUUCAAUCAAGCGCGGGUAAACGGCGGGAGAAACUAUGACUCUCUUAAGGUAGAUAAAUGCCUCGUCAUCUAAUUAAUGACGCGCAUGAAUGGAUUAACGAGAUUUCCACUAUCCCUGUCUAAUAUCCAGCGAAACCACAGCCAAGAGAACAAGCGUGGAAGAAUCAGCGGAGAAAGAAGACCCUAUUGAGCUUGACUCUAGUCCGACUUUGUGAAAUGACUUGAGAGGUGUAAGCUAAGUGAGAGCCGACACGCCGGUGGGAGUGAAAUACCACUACUUUUAACGUUAUUUUACUUAUUCCGUGAGACGGAGGCGGGGCGUUGCCCCUCCUUUUGGCUUUCAAGUCUCGCUCCGGUGGGUCAAUCAGGGUGGAAGACAUUGUCACGUGGGGAGUUUGGCUGGGGUAGCACAUCUAUUUAGAGAUAACGCAUGUGUCCUAAGAUGAGCUCAACAAGAACAGAAAUAUCGUGUGGAACAAAAGGGUAAAAGCUUGUUGAUUCUGAUUUCCAAUACAAAUAUGAACUGUGAAAGCGUGGCCUAUCGAUCCUUUAGUUAUUCGGAGUUUGAAGCUAGAGGUGUCAGAAAAGUUACCAAAGGGAUAAUUGGCUUGUGGCAGCCAAGCGUUCAUAGCGACGUUGCUUUUUGAUCCUUCGAUGUCGGCUCUUCCUAUCAUUGUAAAGCAGAAUUCACAAAGUUUUGGAUUGUACACCCACCAAUAGGGAACGUGAGCUGAGUUUAGACCGUCGUGAGACAGGUUAGUUUUACUUUAUUAAUGAUCGUGCUGCGAUAUUAAUUCAACCCAGUAUAAGAGGAACCGUUGAUUCACACAAUUGGUCAUCGUGCUUGAUUGAAAAGUCAGUGGCGCGAAGCUACUGUGUGCAUGAUUAUGACCGAACGCCUCUAAGUCAGAAUCCGUGCUAAUGAUGCGGCGCCUGAGCCCAUCGAUCGCCCUCCGAUCGGCAGUAGGGGCAUCAUCCCCAAGGGCACGUGAGCCGGGCUGCGUUCGCGCCGUUCUCCUCAUAAGGAUCGGUACGGCGGCCUGAAUUGCAGUUCUGAAUGAUGGACGGGCAAAAUCUUUUGCAAAAGAAUUAAAAUCAUGACGAGGUAUUGUACGACGGGCCCACGGCACCUCGGUUCGACAAAC
rnacentral:rRNA from 1 species